rnacentral:rRNA from 1 species
UACGUAGGGGGCUAGCGUUGUCCGGAUUUAUUGGGCGUAAAGAGCGUGUAGGCGGCCAUGUAGGUCCGGUGUGAAAACUCGAGGCUUAACCUCGAGAUGUCAUCGGAAACCAUUUGGCUAGAGUCCGGAAGAGGAGAGUGGAAUUCCUGGUGUAGCGGUGAAAUGCGUAGAUAUCGGGAGGAACACCGGCGGCGAAGGCGGCCCUCUGGACGGUGACUGACGCUGAGACGCGAAAGCGUGGGGAGCAAACAGGG